rnacentral:RNase_P_RNA from 4 species
CAAACAAGUUGGAUGGUUGCUCUGAUGCCGUCAAUUGGCGGAAUAUCGGAGAGGAAAGUCCGAACACUCUUUGAUAAUUUAUCAAUAUUUAUCAAUGUCAUGGUAGUGGGUAACGCCCACCGGCUAGAUUGCAAAAUAUAGUCAGGACCAGUUCCACAGAGACAAUACUAACCAGUACUACGCAUUAGAAAUCCUAAAUCCAAAAAUACAAACCCCAAAUAAAUUAAUUCAAAAAAUAAAAAUUGAAUUCAAAAUUGGGAGUUGGAAAUUUGGUGCUUGGAAUUUCCACUGCGUGGUAGUGGUAAAAGGUGAAAAGUGUUAUGAUGUUUUGGGAUUAAGCAAGGGAUAUCCCCUUAGCCCAAAGCUACAUGACUCAACUGUCGGCAACCGGCAGUUUGUGGUAAACUCUACCUGGUGCAACCUCAAAUAUAGUAGAGGGCUGGAGCUUGCCAGCAAUGACAAGCCAAGAUAGAUAACCAUCUCCCUAACAGGAACAGAAUUCGGCUUACAGGCUUGUUUGAACA